ACAAUUUAAAUAUUUGGAAGAAUUGAACCAAAGCGGUUUUUGACUAGUCCAUCUGUUGGCAUCUUCAAUGAUGGAUAUGACAAUGUGAAUUCAGAUCUUAUUCUAUCAGUGAACUUUGUCUUGAUCAAUUCAGAAACACAGCGAAGAUAUAUUGUCAAAGAUGUUCUUGGUCAUGGGACUUUCGGUCAGGUUGCGAAAUGCUGGGUUCCGGAAACAAACAGUUUUGUUGCUGUGAAGAUAACUAAAAACCAACCUGCUUACUAUCAGCAGGCUCUGGUUGAAGUUUCUAUUUUGACAACGUUAAACAAAAAGUAUGAUCCGGAAGACAAGCAUCACAUUGUCCGUUUUUAUGAUUUCUUUGUUUAUCAAUGUCAUUUGUGCAUUUGUUUUGAACUUCUUGACACCAAUCUGUAAGCAAUUUUAUUUAUAUGCAUACAAUGAAACAAGUUUCAUGAUUUCCUCAAUUUCCUUUACCCUUUAUAAAGAUACAUUUCUUAUAUUGAUUUUUUGGCAGCAUGUUAUUAACCUAUUCCCCCUGAUCUAGGCAUGAGCUUAUCAAGAUAAAUCAU